rnacentral:rRNA from 1 species
CAUUAUACCGUGAAACUGCGAAUGGCUCAUUAAAUCAGUUAUCGUUUAUUUGAUAGUACCUUACUACUUGGAUAACCGUGGUAAUUCUAGAGCUAAUACAUGCUAAAAACCCCAACUUCGGGAGGGGUGUAUUUAUUAGAUAAAAAACCAACGCCCUUCGGGGCUUCUUGGUGAUUCAUGAUAACUUUACGGAUCGCAUGGCCUUGCGCCGGCGACGGUUCAUUCAAAUUUCUGCCCUAUCAACUUUCGAUGGUAAGGUAUUGGCUUACCAUGGUUUCAACGGGUAACGGGGAAUUAGGGUUCGAUUCCGGAGAGGGAGCCUGAGAAACGGCUACCACAUCCAAGGAAGGCAGCAGGCGCGCAAAUUACCCAAUCCCGACACGGGGAGGUAGUGACAAUAAAUACUGAUACAGGGCUCUUUUGGGUCUUGUAAUUGGAAUGAGUACAAUUUAAACCUCUUAACGAGGAACAAUUGGAGGGCAAGUCUGGUGCCAGCAGCCGCGGUAAUUCCAGCUCCAAUAGCGUAUAUUAAAGUUGUUGCAGUUAAAAAGCUCGUAGUUGAAACUUGGGUCUGGCUGGCAGGUCCGCCUCACCGCGUGUACUUGUCCGGCCGGGCCUUCCUUCUGGAGAACCUCAUGCCCUUCACUGGGCGUGUUGGGGACCAGGACUUUUACUUUGAAAAAAUUAGAGUGUUCAAAGCAGGCCUUUGCUCGAAUACGUUAGCAUGGAAUAAUAGAAUAGGACGUGCGGUCCUAUUUUGUUGGUUUCUAGGACCGCCGUAAUGAUUAAUAGGGACAGUCGGGGGCAUCAGUAUUCAAUUGUCAGAGGUGAAAUUCUUGGAUUUAUUGAAGACUAACUACUGCGAAAGCAUUUGCCAAGGAUGUUUUCAUUAAUCAGUGAACGAAAGUUAGGGGAUCGAAGACGAUCAGAUACCGUCGUAGUCUUAACCGUAAACUAUGCCGACUAGGGAUCGGGCGAUGUUCUUUUUCUG